AGAGUUUGAUCCUGGCUCAGGACGAACGCUGGCGGCGUGCCUAAUACAUGCAAGUAGAACGCUGAAGAGAGGAGCUUGCUCUUCUUGGAUGAGUUGCGAACGGGUGAGUAACGCGUAGGUAACCUGCCUUGUAGCGGGGGAUAACUAUUGGAAACGAUAGCUAAUACCGCAUAACAAUGGAUGACACAUGUCAUUUAUUUGAAAGGGGCAAUUGUUCCACUACAAGAUGGACCUGCGUUGUAUUAGCUAGUAGGUGAGGUAAUGGCUCACCUAGGCGACGAUACAUAGCCGACCUGAGAGGGUGAUCGGCCACACUGGGACUGAGACACGGCCCAGACUCCUACGGGAGGCAGCAGUAGGGAAUCUUCGGCAAUGGGGGCAACCCUGACCGAGCAACGCCGCGUGAGUGAAGAAGGUUUUCGGAUCGUAAAGCUCUGUUGUAAGUCAAGAACGGGUGUGAGAGUGGAAAGUUCACACUGUGACGGUAGCUUACCAGAAAGGGACGGCUAACUACGUGCCAGCAGCCGCGGUAAUACGUAGGUCCCGAGCGUUGUCCGGAUUUAUUGGGCGUAAAGCGAGCGCAGGCGGUUUGAUAAGUCUGAAGUUAAAGGCUGUGGCUCAACCAUAGUUCGCUUUGGAAACUGUCAAACUUGAGUGCAGAAGGGGAGAGUGGAAUUCCAUGUGUAGCGGUGAAAUGCGUAGAUAUAUGGAGGAACACCGGUGGCGAAAGCGGCUCUCUGGUCUGUAACUGACGCUGAGGCUCGAAAGCGUGGGGAGCGAACAGGAUUAGAUACCCUGGUAGUCCACGCCGUAAACGAUGAGUGCUAGGUGUUGGAUCCUUUCCGGGAUUCAGUGCCGCAGCUAACGCAUUAAGCACUCCGCCUGGGGAGUACGACCGCAAGGCUGAAACUCAAAGGAAUUGACGGGGGCCCGCACAAGCGGUGGAGCAUGUGGUUUAAUUCGAAGCAACGCGAAGAACCUUACCAGGUCUUGACAUCCCGAUGCUAUUUCUAGAGAUAGAAAGUUACUUCGGUACAUCGGUGACAGGUGGUGCAUGGUUGUCGCCAGCUCGUGUCGUGAGAUGUUGGGUUAAGUCCCGCAACGAGCGCAACCCCUAUUGUUAGUUGCCAUCAUUCAGUUGGGCACUCUAGCGAGACUGCCGGUAAUAAACCGGAGGAAGGUGGGGAUGACGUCAAAUCAUCAUGCCCCUUAUGACCUGGGCUACACACGUGCUACAAUGGUUGGUACAACGAGUUGCGAGUCGGUGACGGCGAGCUAAUCUCUUAAAGCCAAUCUCAGUUCGGAUUGUAGGCUGCAACUCGCCUACAUGAAGUCGGAAUCGCUAGUAAUCGCGGAUCAGCACGCCGCGGUGAAUACGUUCCCGGGCCUUGUACACACCGCCCGUCACACCACGAGAGUUUGUAACACCCGAAGUCGGUGAGGUAACCUUUUGGAGCCAGCCGCCUAAGGUGGGACAGAUGAUAGGGGUGAAGUCGUAACAAGGUA
rnacentral:rRNA from 1 species